rnacentral:rRNA from 1 species
UACAGGGGGGGCAAGCGUUGUUCGGAAUUACUGGGCGUAAAGGGCCAGUAGGCGGCCAACUAAGUCACACGUGAAAUCCCCGGGCUCAACCCGGGAACUGCGUCCGAUACUGGAAGGCUUGAAUCCGGGAGAGGGAUGUGGAAUUCCAGGUGUAGCGGUGAAAUGCGUAGAUAUCUGGAGGAACACCGGUGGCGAAGGCGACAUCCUGGACCGGUAUUGACGCUGAGGCGCGAAAGCCAGGGGAGCAAACGGG